rnacentral:rRNA from 1 species
GUGCCAGCAGCCGCGGUAAUACGAAGGGGGCUAGCGUUGUUCGGAAUCACUGGGCGUAAAGGGCGCGUAGGCGGCUUUUCAAGUCGGGGGUGAAAGCCUGUGGCUCAACCACAGAAUUGCCUUCGAUACUGUUAGGCUUGAGACCGGAAGAGGUGAGUGGAACUGCGAGUGUAGAGGUGAAAUUCGUAGAUAUUCGCAAGAACACCAGUGGCGAAGGCGGCUCACUGGUCCGGUUCUGACGCUGAGGCGCGAAAGCGUGGGGAGCAAACAGGAUUAGAAACCCCCGUAGUCC